UCAUCGAUCCGUGGCAUCGUCACCCGGACAGGUGACGUGACCAUACUUGCUUUGCCUCCGGCUAGCCUCCGGCAAAGAUUAUUUAGUCUUUGCCGGCGGCCUAGCCUCCGGCAAAGGCAUAUUUUUCUUUCUAUUUCGUGUGUUUACUUGGCAAAGGUUUUUCUUAUUUUAUUUUUAUUAUUGGACUUCAAAUUUUUACCCCAAGUUUAUAUACCCAUAAAAUAACACCAUGCCAAAAAUUGUACUUUUUUGACAAAGUUUUAGUAUUAUUUCAUUUUUUUUCCUCUUAAACGGCUCUAGAAAAUGAUAAAUAAUUAUUUUUACAUAUAAGGUGUUGAUUGUAAUUCACAUUACUCAUAAUUAAAUCUAGAUGAAACCACAGUAAAAAAAUACAACACAAAAAAUGGACAGAUUGUUGUGAAACUUGGUUCGGGACUCAAAUUUGGAGGUUCAUUUUCGAGAUCGUGCAAUUUGUGAAGAAUGUACCAUUUUGAUUUUGUGUAUUGAUUUGAAAUUUUUAUCCCAACCUUAUAUACCCAUAAUAUAUGGCUCCAUGAAAAAAAUUGCUAAUUUUUGACAACUUUUUAGUAUUAUUGAUUUUUUUCUAUAAAACGGCUCUAAAAAUGAUAAAUAAUUACUUUUACAUAAAAGUUGGUGGUUUUAAUUCACAUUACUUCUAAUUAGCAGUAAAUGAAACCAUAGUAAAAGAAUCAACUUAAAAAGGGAAAAUAUUAUUGCAAAACUUGGUUCGGGAUUCAAAUUGGACGUUUGGGUGCUAAGUUUGGGAACUUAUACAAAGAUGUUGCAAUUUUGUGAAG
rnacentral:lncRNA from 1 species